UUUAGGCUUCGUUUCCGCCUGGAAGGCCGAGGCGACAUCGUAAACUCAUGAAAAUGGAUUUGAAGCAUCGUGACACAUAACCGAAGACCUUUAAUUUUCGGAUCGUGAAUUGGAGGCCGUUUGGGUGGUCGCGCGAGAGAUCGGGCCAAACCGGGUGCCGGGUGCCGCGGGCGGCCGAUUGCAAGUGUCGACAAGCAAUCGGAAAGCAUUUCGAGGUGGGUUGUGUUUACCGAAGUCACUAGGUUACCUUCAUGUCAAAGUGAAACAUGAGAUUCAUAUAGAUGCAUAUUAUUAUGUAUGCUAAUUGAUAGUGCAUGAUGAUGCAUUGAAGUGCAUGCUAGUUGAUAAUGAAAAAUUGAUAUGUUGAAGUAUGUGCUAGAUGAUAUUGCAUAUGAACACAUGAUGACAUGAUAUAGAGAACAUGAACAUACAAAUGAAUGUUAACGCUUUGUUAAUCAUAUGAGUUAUGAGAUCAUGUUGGAUAAUGCUUAGUGACAUAAUGAGAAAUUGUUAAUUAUACAUACACGUUAGCAUUAUGUAAAUGUAUGCUAGUUGGUAGAACACAUACUAGUGGUAAUUGCAUAAUAAUGCAUUGGAAAGUACAUGCUAGAAACUAGAUGCAAGCGAUAUAUAUAUGUGCAUUGGAAUGUAUGCUAGGUGCAUGUAGCAUUAUGUGGGCCGGUUGGAUAAAAUGCAUAAGUGCAUCAUGUGAAUACAUGUUAAAUGGUAUGGCAUAUUAACAUUAUGAAAAAUAUAUGCUAGAGGAAAAUGUUUAGUGACGUACUAAGAAUAUGUAGCUAUAACUCGAUGUGGACAAUUAGGUGUCAACUAGAUCGAGUGACAUUAACUUAAUGUAUUAAACAUAGGUCAAAUGUGACCCUAGGGUCGAGAACCUAGGAGGAGCAAGAAUGGUAUUUAACCUAGUGUCAUGGGCCUAGGGUAGAUCGAGUGGCAUUAACCUAGUGUUGUGAACAUAGGUUGAACAGAAUGAACCUAGAGUUAAUAAGAUCUAGGUAGAGAGGCUUAACCUAGUUUAAAGAACAUAGGUUAUGUGAAAAAGGGCAUUAAACCUAGAGUCAGCUAGACCUAGGAUGGAAAGUGCAUUGGACCUAGAUAGGUCAAUAUCAUAGGGUCGAGACUACCCUAGAGGUUUGGAAAGUAGAUUCCGGAAUCUUAGGUUUGUGAACUCGAUAGUUCUAAAGCCGUGGGGGCAGUUGGCAAUGUUCUCCUCCCACUGGAUGAACUUCGAGGAUGAGCUUAAGGCUGAUUCGAGGCCGCGGGUUGAGUGCGGCAGGGUUCCCCCUCCCGUCGGCAGAAUCGUGCUUCUCUAGGGUUGAGUGUGGCAUGUCCCCUUCCCUAUCGGGGGUCUUGGACCGCGGGUUGAGUAUGUGGCAUAAUCCCCUUCCCACCAGAAAGAUCCCUGACCACGGGUGUACACAGCUCUGGGCGACCCAUUCGGCGAUGAGUGUAUGGAUUGAAGGCUGAGAUUUGAGUGAGGAUUCCUCCAUCUCGGGCCGGACAGAGCGCGAACUAUCCGCAGUUGAUUGACUCGAGGCCGAGUCGGGUGGCUAGUAGUAAUGUGAUGGAUCUAAGGUAAUAGAAACCUUAGAGAUUAGUUGGAUCUGAGCGAGAUAGCAAGAUAGAAAUAGAAUCAAGUGAUUUACUUAUGAUAGUUGCAUAAUUGCAUUAUUGCAUAUAGCACGGCAUUGUUGUAAUUCUGAGGCAAAGCAUGGUUUCAUUAAUUGCAUAAUCAAUAUAUAUAUAUAUAUAUAUAUAUAUAUAUAUAUAUAUAUCUGUUUAUUGAGCUAACCUGCAGUUGCCUCCUUUGAACCUGAUGGCCGAGCUUUUUCCUUGGGUGGCCGUACCCACUAGGAACCAUGGAGUUGGUUCUCAUCCCACGUUGUUUUGGGGUGUUUACAGGUUCGCACGUGAGCGGCGCGGCAGCGCGAGGAAAGGACGUAGCUCCGUAGAUAGCGCCAUAUCCCAGAGACCAGAGCUAGAAGUACCCCGUCGACAUUGCUUAGGGGUUAAGAAAAUGAAAAGAACAUAAUGUAUCAAAUUUGUAAUAAGUAAAUGUUGUAAUAACUUAGAUUGCAUUUGGAUGAAAAGAAUGGUGGUUGAGAUGUAAAAUGCAUGAAUGUGAAUGAAUGUAAUAACAUAGGAUGUGUUUAUGUUGUUUGAUACCUUCCUUAUGCAAUCUUGAUUGAAAUGUGUUCCUGUUUGGAACUUCGUACAUUAUAUUGAUUGCGAUGCCUUGAACGUACAGGGGAGACUCUGUCCGCAGUACAGGGGAAACCCUGUCCGUUCGGCGGUCUGUCGGCGUGCUCGAACCUGACCAAACAGGCGGGGCUCGGGGCGUGACAGAUUGCCUCUCUCAAUGUUGAUGCUAACAUCUCUUGUUGGAUAUGUAUGCAUAGACUUUGUUACGCUUCG
rnacentral:lncRNA from 1 species